GGGGUCGGGCGAGGCGGAGAUCCUCCCUUGGAGGGUCGGGCGCGUCCGAUCCCAAGCCUUAGGGGUCGGGCGAGGCGGAACUCCAAGGAUCAAUCAGCCGAUCCUCGACUGAAGCAUCAAAUGGCGGAUCCUUGACUGUAGCAGCAAUCGGCCGAUUUCCAAUCAUCGCCCUUGUAUCUCGCCGCAUCUUCCGAUCUUUUCUUCUCCUAACGCCGAUUUUACACGUAUCAAAAUCUGGCGUCAACACAUGCCCCCCAGUUUCGGAGUAAAACAUAGUCUUUACUUCGAAAUUCUUUUUUAACUUCACAUCCGAAAUAGACACCACGAAAACAUCCUGAUGAUUGCAAUCUUUUCGAAACGGGCGCCCACGACAACCACUACUCCCGAAAAACUCGAAACGCCGGCGCGGUAAAAAUUCCAUUUUUACCCCUUCUCAGACCUUCUUUAAAUAUCAGCACAUCCCGUACUCCUUACGAGCUCACGUCCUUCUUCUUCAGCGCACAGGCUUUCUUCUUCCUCCAAUACUUUCCUCAAUCCUCCAAUUCCCCAGCUCCUCCUUCUCUUCGCAUUCUUUCCUACUUUUCCAAUGGCGGCACCUUCAGGCACCUCGCAAACGCGCGAAGCUCCAAAAUGACACUUUCGGCGGAGAUUCCAGUGGCGACAGCGACGACUCCAUUGAUGGAAGAAGGAGCUUCAUCGGCGAAAGCUGAAGCCUCUUUUGAGAUCCCAUUGGCGGCUUCAUCCUCUGCAGCUGCACCGGCGACUCUGCCGAUUACGAGGAGCUUCAUUCCGGAGGUUAUUACCGAAACCUUCCCUUAUCGGUAGUGCAUUUAUCUUAGAUCUAUUUCUUACCCUCGCACCCCCUUUUCCUUUUUAGCAGUUAGUCAUCGCAUCACCAUUCGCCUUACAGAAAGCCUCGGCCUUAUCUGCCUCGAGCCCAUGGGGAACCCAGAUCCUACCGACCUGAUCAACUUGGAAACCCAUAGGAUCCCCUUCAAACAAUCAACCAUGGACUUAGAUCAAUGGUCGGGUACCUUUAAAUCUUGGCCGAACGAAACCCCUGGUUGGAGGGAAUGGUACCAGCGGAUAGCCGCCUCCAAGAAGCUCCAAUGGGACGAGCUCAAAAUUGGCCAAUGCAUCGACCUAUCCUUGUCCCAAAUGGAACGGAAUGAACCGUUAGUGAUGGCAGCUUCUUACUUUUGGUCUGAUGCUCUCAACGCAUUCUUGUUUGGACACGGACCCAUGACCCCCACAUUGGCCGAUGUUGUCUUGCUGACCGGCCUGGACAUCACUUCCCCGGAUACUCCUUUCCGCCUUAUAGCCGCAACAUCACAUCGGCUGGACACAAGGGGAAUCGGCGGGUGGAAGGGCUUCAUUAGAUGCAACAAAAGGGCCGGAUCUGUUGAGAACAGAGAGUAUACGGCCUUCCUGAUGAUGUGGCUAGAGAAGCACUUCUUCUAUGGGAGAGCAGCUGGUCCAUCUACCAAUACCCAAGCUCUAGCCGAAGCACUAUCAAUAGGGACUUCGGUUCCUCUCGGAAAGCACUUACUGGGAGCAGUUUACCAACUAGGCCUUCAUCAAAUCGGUAUCAAGCUAUCCCAAGGGGAGCCGAUUGGAAAUCCAGGUGGGCCCUGGUGGUUUAUUAACUUGUGGCUGAACUUGUAUAUGAGUGAGAUUUCUCAGCAGCGAGUGGAAAAUAUGACUUUCCCCAGCGUCGAAUCAGAAGAGAACCUCACUGUCCGACGCCGGUGUAUGUCCUUUGGCGAAGCGGCAUCAGCCUUCAGUGGUUGCUCGUAUUCUGCGACCAAGGUGGCCGAAUACUUUCGGUGCUUCUACAAUGGCUUCAAUGAAGAUGUAACCGUCUGGUUCCCUUAUCGGAGAGAUGACUCAAUCUUCGAGCUCCCUCCUUGUUUCGACUCAACCACCGGCCGAUUCGACGAAGAUCUCACAGAUGAGUUAAUUAAACCAGGGAUCUUGCCGGCCAACUUCUUCUCAGAAAAAGAUGCCCCCACGUAUGAAUUCUACAACCCUUCUGUUGCAGCGCGACAAUUCAUUAUGGGACAACUGCCGAUUCAGGCAUACUUCAUUGGCCGAGCAAAGUUCAGAGAUGAGCUCACCAAGGGCCUUGACUACAGUCGGCUGCGAGAUCGGAUACCAGACUCUAGCACCAUAGAUCUGAAUGACUGGAUAGUAGCUCCCUUUGCUGUCCAACAAUUCAAGUUAUGGUGGGCCGAAUGGAAAUAGUACCUAUUCUGCGCCUCCGCAUCAAUGUACCGCAACCUCUUGGAUCCAGCCAACAUCGAUCCGAACGCCGAGGUAUUUUCCCAUAACCGAUCUUCAUUCCUUCACUGAUGCAUUUAAAUAUGUAUACUAACAUCUUGCUGUUAUUCCAGUCUGAAAAUCGUGUUCCCCCAACACAUAGUUGGAGUGGUCGGCCGAUAGAGGAUCAUCACCCCUACACCAUUCUCCCUCUUAUCGGCUAUGAUGCCCCUUCCGUGGAUGUGAUCGCCGGCCGAUCGAAGCAGGCGCGGAAGAAGGUUACCAAGAAGACCAGCCGCCGAUUGAAGUGGGCUUUGCUAAGACACUGUACCCACUAGGGGACUGUUAUGCUUUGCUUAGACCUAAAACCUAAGCGGGUUACCACUUACUAGCGAAUCUUUGUAAAUGUCUCGUAGCGUCCUAUGGAAUCAUACCUCGGAAGUGUGGUAUGGUGCCUUGCAAAUACUGCAUGGUUGGGUCCAAAGUUCUUUUGAACUUUUACAUGACUUGUGGGUAAAGAAGUCAACCUUUGCAGAGUGUAAAAUGAUCGAUCAGCCAUGCUCAUGGUUAGGAGCGGCCUGGGCCCUCACAUGAUAACACUAUCGAAGGAUGGACCUAAAUCGCUAUUAUUUCAUUCAUGCUUAUGUUAUUGCUUUAUUUAUGUUCAUGUUUAGUUUCAGGUGGUAUAAACUUAUAUUUAGUUAAAUGCUAAUAAAAGUUGACAAACUGAAUUAAAAGCUGAUGCUGAUUAAACCUUAGCCAUACCUUGAUUUGCCUUACACUACACUGUUCCCCAUGACUUGUUGAGUACCUACUAUAAGUGUACUCACCCUUGCAAAACCACUGUUCAGACCAAGUUAAUCUUGAGGAGUAUCCGCAAGACCUUGAGGAGUUCUAGGCAUACAGUUCUUCAGUCAGCUGCCUGCGGUGUCUUUGCUUCCGUUGGAGUCCGCUACGUAAUAAAUUAGAUUUGUGUUUUGUUGAGACUUUCGGUCAUGUAAUAACUUUUUAAUACUCUCUUUAUUCGUUAUGACACUAUCUUUAUUAUUCACUUAUGUCUUACAUGUGUGUAACUUGACCUUGACAUACAUGUAUUCAAGGCACUCAGUUUUGUCCUUAAAACUGGGUGUGACAGAAGUGGCAUCAGAGCCGUGUUGACUAUAGGACGUUAGCCUAGUUGGAAAAUGAUUGCAAUUAAGGAUUAUAAUUAUCUAGUAGCCAUUCCUACUUACUCCUUAAUUUAAAUCUACUUAAAUAAUUUUAACCUUGAUUUUACCUCAUCCUUAUUGUUAUGCUUCUAUAUUAUUCCUUUAUUUUUCUUCUAUCCUUGUUCAUGCAAAAUUUUGUUCUAAAUUAAUUCCAUCUUCUUUCUUCUGUUAGAUGGCUCGCACAAGAAGGACAGCCCGCAAGAGCACCCAUCCUCCGCACCAUGGCAUCACGCAGUGUCACCCCAUGGAGCCUAGAGAAUAGGAGGUCUACUACUUUCAGCAACCGGGAGAUGUGACUGAUGAGGACGCCAUACCCAUAGAGCAGGAACCAGCGCCAGCUCUAGCACCUGCGCCCGCUCCAGCACCAGCACCUGCACCUGACGUCGUCGAUGUACCGGACACUGACCUAGAUUCAGAUCCAGAGUCAAACCCGUCCGAGCUGUCUGAUCCAGAGCCUGAACCAGAAGCUGAUCCAGAGCCUGAACCAGAAGCAGCUGCACUAGCUCUUGAGCCUAAGAAGUGGACCAAAUGGGUGAAGGAGGACCUUGGACAAGGAGUUCCCAUGGCUGACAUGCUGAGAUGGACCUAGCACCAUUUGGGACAUGUCAUGAGGCCUACCUACAAGUGCACGCGGUACACACACCCCGCUACCCCAUGUUCUGGGAGGUGAACGUUACCCUUUGUGAGGAGCAUGAAAGAGGAUGGGAGGUGGUGUCUGUUCACCACUAUGUGGCAAUGAGGAUGACCAUGGAGGCUGACAUAGCUGAGGUAGCUAGGAGAGCGCUUGAGGUUCUCUCUCACAAGGAACGUUCACGGCUGCAGCAUACCUAUUGCCGGUACAUCCCGUCCAGGGCCAGUGGUGAAGCAAGGACUUUCAUAUAUAGCUUCGCACGAUGGACUUGACAUGGCAACGGACUACCUCCGCAAGUAUCUAUCUGCAACUCUCACCACCUUGAAUGAGACCAACAACACCCUCUAUGCUACUCAACAGGAGCCGCAUGAGGUUAGAUGGGAGAGGGAUGUACUAGUGGCUUCUACAACAGGAGCACCUACACCACUAGAGGAUGUGGAGUAUCUAGUUUCAUCGCUAUCACCCAAGCGCCCCCGCUAUGACUCACCCGACACCAUUGCUAAAGAUCUUUAGGUUUAGGAGUGUUAAGUUUAAAUUCUUGUAAUUGUUAGCAUCAUCGUCGUUAGAGUGUGCUAGCUUAAGGUGUGUUUGGAUGCUUGGUCUUGUGUUAAACGAUUGAGUUGGAUUUUUGUAAUGAUUGCUGUGUGUUGUGGAGUAAUUGCCACAACGACAUCGGUUUUAGUAAUAAGUGCUUAGUUGGGUUUUAGUUCUGUUCUAAAUUAGUUUCUAGCCUUCCUUAAUCCUAAUCUCGCAUUUAUCUAAAUCUAUCUGUCAUGCAAACUAUGAGAUGUUCAAAUCUAUUCUCGUCAUUAAGCAACAUGUCAGUAAUGUUUUCAUUAUAUCUCGAGCUACAGACGUCCAAAUGAUAUGAAAUUAGUGGAGUUAGUUUCAGAAUUUUGUGGAGUACUUUCUAUAAAUUUUUUAGAAUUGUUUUACAAUCUGUUUGGGAGAUAUGUGUGAAUUAGUGGAGCAAUCAGAAUCUGAAACUAUCACUUGAUACUGUUAGCUUGUUAAUUUUAUAUCCUGAGACCUAGAUUCCGAUUGAGGUGAUUCUAGUUGGGUUGUGUUGGCGCUAGAAAUCGGCUGAUCGAAUUUCCAGCGUCGGACACACGACCCGGGAGAAUCUGCUUAGCUCCUGUUCGGGUGAUCGCCCUGGUGCGGUUCGCGUGGCGUGCCAGCCAAUCUGACCUGUUGACCUGGUGCGAUCGGCUAAGGUUCCGAUCUCGAGAAAGCUUAUCAGCGAAUCAGCUGAUUUGCCGUAAUAAAGAAAUCGGCUAUAAUGCAACCGAUUACCAGGCAACGUUUAUAAAGAAAACUGCUAGAGUAAUCUAAACAACGCUACAGUAGCAACACUAGGAACAGAUCUAAUCAGCUAUGCGCAAAAAUAAGUAAAUUAAAUGACGAAGUACGGGAACAGCCGAAGUUGCCGAUUCCUAGCUGGAUAACUGGUGAUAAAACUAGAACAACAGGUAAAACCUAGAAUUCUAGUAAAUAUCGAUAACUAAUGAAUAAAUCUAAACGAAAUGACAGCGAUGGGCCCAAAGUUAAAGCUUAGAAUUUACUCGAUAAAUGGAACUUACAAGAUCGGCCGGAGGUCAAGUUGAUGCAGCCCCGCCAACCCGUACGAACUCGUGAAAAAGGAGAAAAAAGUGUUGGCGAAGUCGCCUGCUUGAAAGUAAGUACGAGGAAAUAGUAGUUUGUUGUAUUGAGUUGAUGAUGAUUACAGAUCUACAAGGGUGGCUAUUUAUAGCCCCGUACAAACGACUUCUUAUCCGACUAGAACUCUAUCCCUAAAUUUAAACAGAAAACGAAUAUUUACAAGUACGAUUCGUACUAGGUCGAUUAUCACACGCUUCAUGGGCUGAUUCCCUCUUCAUAUUCAUAAUCCUUUUUAAGCCCACAUCGGCCCAACUAUUCCAACCUCCUAAUCGGCCGAUCACCUCUUUGGCAAGGGGUAACCGAUCAGGACUCACAUGUCGAGGGCUCAGACUCACUCCGACCCUGGAAACUAAGGUCGGACGAGGCGGAGAUCCUCCUCUGGAGGGUCGGGCGCGUCCGAUCCCAAACCUCAGGGGUCGGGCGAGGCGGAGAUCCUUCUGUGGAGGGUCGGGCGCGUCCGAUCCCAAACCUUAGGGGUCGGGCGAGGUGGAGAUCCUCCCUUGGAGGGUCGGGCGCGUCCGAUCCCAAACCUCAAGGGUCAGGCGAGGCGGAACUCCAAGGAUCAAUAGGUCGAACCUCGACUGUAGCAUCAAUUGGCCGAUCCUUGACUGUAGCACCAAUCAACCGAUUUCCAAUCGUCGCCCUUGUAUCUCGCCGCAUCUCCUAGUUUCUUCCUCUCCUAACGCCGAUUUUACUCGUGUUGAAAUCUGGCGUCAACACAUGCCCCCCAGUUUCGGAGUAAAACAUAGUCUUUACUUCGAAAUUCUUUUCAACUUCUCAUCCGAAACAGACGCAACGAAAACACCCUUCCGUUUCGCGGUCUCCAACCUGAUGAUUGCAAUCUUUUCGAAACGGGCGCCCAUGACAACCACUACUCCCGAAAAACUCGAAACGCCGGCGUGGUAAAAUUCCAAUUUUACCCCUUCUCAGACCUCCUUUAAAUAUCAGCGCAUCCCGUACCUCCCUUACGAGCUCACGUCCUUCUUCCUCAGCGCACAUGCUUUCUUCUAUCUCCAACACUUUCCUUAGUCCUCCAAUUCUCCAGCACCUCCUUCCUUUCGCAUUUCCCCCCUACUUUUCCAAUGGUGGCACCUUCAGGUACUUCACCAACGCGCAAGGCUCCAGAAAUGGUGCCUUUGGUGGAGGUUCCAGUAGCUACAACGGCGGCUCCAUUGACGGAAGGAGGAGCUCCAUCGGCGAAAGUUGAAGCUUCAUCCGAGAUCCCAUUGGCAGCUUCAUUGUCUGCAGCUGCACCGGCGACUCCGCCGAUUACGAGGAGCUUCAUCCUGGAGGCCAUUACCGAAACUUUCCCUUAUUAGUAAUGCAUUUACUUUAGAUCUAUUUCUUACCCUCGCACCCCCUUUUCCUUUUUAGGCGGUUAGGCAUCGUAUCACCAUUCGUCUUACAGAAAACCCCGGCCUUAUCUGCCUUGGGCCCAUGGGAAACCCAGAUCUGACCAACUUAAUCAAUUUGGAAACCCAUAGGAUCCCCUUCAAACAAUCAACUAUGGACCUAGAUCACUGGUUGGGUACCUUUAGGUCUUGGCCGAACGAAACUCCCGGUUGGAGGGAAUGGUACCAGCGGAUAGCCGCUUCCAAGAAGGUUCAAUGGGCCAAACUCAAAAUUGGCCAAUGCAUCGAUCUAUCCUUGUCCCAAAUGGAACGGAAUGAGCCAUUAGUGAUGGCAGCUUCUUACUUCUGGUCCGAUGCUCUCAACGCAUUCCUGUUUGGACACGGACCCAUGACCCCCACAUUGGCCGAUGUAGUCUUGCUGACCGGCCUGGACAUUUCUUCUCCGGACACCCCUUUCCACCUUAUAGCCGCAACAUCACAUCGGCUGGACACAAGGGGAAUCGGUGGGUGGAAAGGUUUCAUCAGAUGCAACAAAAGGGCCGGAUCUGUCGAGAACAGAGAGCACACGGCCUUCCUGAUGAUGUGGCUAGAGAAGCACUUCUUCUGUGGGAGAGCAGCUGGUCCAUCUACCAAUACCCAAGCUCUGGCCGAAGCAUUAUCGAUAGGGGCUUCUAUUCCUCUUGGAAAGCACUUACUGGGAGCAGCCUACCACAUGCUUCAUCAAAUCGGCAUCAAGCUAUCCCAAGGGGAGCUGAUUGGAAACCCAGGUGGACCCUGGUGGUUUAUUAACCUAUGGCUAAACCUGUACAUGAGCAGGAUUUCUCAGCAGCGAGUGGAACACAUGACGUUCCCCAGCGUCGAAUCGGUAGAGGAUCCCACUGCCCGGCGCCGGUGCACAUCUUUCGGCGAAGCGGCAUCGGCCUUCUCCGGUUGUUCGUAUUCUGCUACCAAGGUGACCGAAUACUUCCGGUGUUUUUAUAACGGCUUUAAUGAAAAUGCAACCGUCUGGUUCACUUAUCGGAGAGAUGACCCAAUCUUUGAACUCCCUUCUUGCUUCGACUCAACUACCGGCUGAUUCGACGAAGAUCUCACAGAUGAACCGAUUAAACCGGGAAUCUUACCGGCCAACUUCUUCUCAGGAAAGGAUGCUCCUACAUAUGAAUUCUACAACCGCUCCAUUGCAGCACGGCAAUUUGGCAUGGGUCAACUGCCGAUUCAAGCAUACUUCGUCGGUUGAGCAAAAUUCAGAGAUGAGCUCACCAAGGGUCUUGACUAUAGUCGGCUGCGAGAUUGGAUCCCAGACUCCAGUACCAUAGAUCUGAAUGACUGGAUAGUAGCCCCCUUUGCUGUCCAACCAUUCAAGUUGUGGUGGGCCGAAUGGAAGCAAUACCUGUUCUGCACCUCCGCAUCGACAUACUGCAAUCUUCUGGAUCCAGCCAACAUCGACCCGAAUGCCGAGGUAUUUUUCCCUAGCCGAUUUUCAUUCCUUCACUAAUAUGGUUGAAUGCGUACACUAACAUCUCGCUGUUGUUUCAGUCUGAAAACCGCAUUCCCCCCACACGCAGCCGGAGUGGCCGGCCGAUAGAGGACCAUCAUCCAUGCACCAUCUUCCCCCUUAUCGGCUAUGAUGCCCCUUCCGUGGAUGUGAUUGCCGGCCGAUCGAAGUAGGCGUAGAAAAAGGUUACCAAGAAGACCAGUCGCCGAGUACGAGCUCGUAUAGAACCGGCCGACCCUCCUAUGAUCACAUCGGCAGAAACUUCGGCCGCAUUGCCCCUUCCAGCCGCUGGAGAAGUAGAUACUCAAGUCGUCACGCAAGCUGGGGCGGCCGCUGCAUCAUUACUGGUGGAGGCCAUGCAGGUAAACUUGUUGUCUGAUCCUACCGAUUGCCAUCUCUAUACUGACUCAUCUUAUUUUUAGACUGCACAAACCACUUCUGUGGACCCACAACAAUCGGCAGCAACCCAAUCGGUCAUCAUCACGCCCACGCUUCCAUCUGCCGAGGUAUACUACUCUUCAACUGAUUUUCCUAGUAUUUGAAUAAUAUUCUUAUUCAAUCUUUUGACACAGGUCACCGGUACGCUAAGCGCCCCACCUAAUCAACCAAUGGUCAUCUUUCAGGAAGCUGGCCCGAGCAAAGCACCAAUCAUGGUGGAGUCUUCUUCUUCUAACGAACCAAUGAUACCAGCCCCUGAAUCGAGGAUAACGGCCUCUCAAACGCAGUUUGAAGAAAUCCAUUUCAAGGAGGUAAGAGACUUCUCACCCUUACUCGGCCGAUUUGCUAUCAUCAUCGGCUGAUUUGUUCUUCUUCUUGACUUACUAUUUUCCAGGAACAGGACACCCCCAACAACAGUCUUUUCUCGUUUGCGGUCGCACUCUCCGAUGACGAGGAAGUCGCCUCUCGUCAGGUUACUUUAAGCUCCGUCCCCGAUGACAUUCGUGCCAAACUUCCAAGCAUCCGAUCCCUUCUUCAAGAGGACAUCGGCCGAUUAGUAGAAGAUGCCUCGCCGAUUCGACAACUUUUUGGUGACGUCAGUGGGCGAGUACCAGAAGAAGCGGAAGAGGCCUUGGCGCCGGCCGCAUAUAUCGAGUCAAUGAGGAUUCCGGUCUUUAGGGCCCUGCGCCACAUGGCUGAUCGCGCCAAGUUGACCAAGACUCGUGAAGAAGAAGACACGUACAAGCGUCAAGCUCAAGAGGUGCAUCAACGGAUUCACUUUCUGGAAGACUCUCGCCCGGGGAUCGUCGGCACGAUAGAUCGACUCAAGCGCCGAAGAGCAGAGCUUGCCAAGGAGAUGGAGCAGGUGACCAAAGCAAUAGACGCCGAAGAGAAGAGGCUUCAGGAACUUCCUUCCGUCAUCGCCGAUCUAAAACGGGAGAGGCAGCACCUGGCUCACGAAGCCCUCAAACUCCACCGCCAUAUGUCAGAAGUCCCCGGAUCGGCAGAGGAUGACCAACGGGUCCUGGACUCUACCGAUCAGAUCCGGCGCCGAGCGAUCGCAGCUAUCAAUGCCCUUCUGGGUGACCUGUAAAAGUACUGGCAAUUCUUUUACGAACAUUAAUAACCCCUUUGACCGUCCUUCGCGGCGCCCCCUUAUUUAUUACCUUUUUCACUUCCGAUGGGACGCGUCUUACCAAACAUCCACACCUUCCUUCCUUAUAAACGCCGGCCUAGGUCCCCGUUCCGAGAGUACCUGUCUAGCUCGGCUUCAUCUUCCCCGACUUGUUUUCGUCAAUGCACUUUUCAGUCAUGUCUUCUUCAUCCUCUACCUCUUCCUCUGUUAAUUAGGUAAAAGAUUUACCUUCAUUCUCUUUCUUAGUUUAAUUCUUCUGAAGGGAAUCACCUUUUCGGCGGCUAUACGUAUAUUGUUGUUUUCCGCAGCCGCGGCGCCUUAGCCUUGAACUCGAACGAGCCAUCGGACUCGUGCACUCGCACGAACUGCUGUCGCAAGAAGACAAGGACUUAAUCAGGGCUCAUCGCGACGAACUCCAAGAGCACGUCCCUGCUGACGUCCGACGGAUCUGGGACUUUCUGGACGGCGACGACCACUGGCGACCUCAAGCUGACAGAAGUCAUCUACUUCCUCAUCAAAUCGUCCUUGAAGAUGCAGUAGCAGGAACAUCACGCCCGGCAAUGGACCAGAGUCACCCUCUCCCCCGUCAAGUCAACGCGGAGGCUGCGAUGAAAGAGAUAGAAGAACAGUACAUCCGUCUUCUGAUAGAACUAGGUCGAACUGAGAGAGAGCUUAAGAAAAAGCGUGAUUAAUUAUUUUUUGUUCUAAGGGCGACUUGUACCGUGUCGGCCGUGUAACCCACCGUCCGUACCGAAUAAAAUAUAUCGGCCGAUUUGGACGAUUACGUUUUUUUUCUCUAGACGAUUCCUUUUGUAUCGGCUGUGUGUUGUUCAUCGUGGUUGAUCCUUAUGCUCUGACCCAUAUACUAGGGUAGUACCUUUUCAAGUAUCUUCCGUUCAGAGCCCUAGUAAACUCUUCCCAUUCGAUCGUUUCCAGAAUAUAAGCAUUUCCCUGAGCACAUCUGCCGAUUUUAUAUGGCCCUUCCAUACCAGGUCCCCCGGAGAGAAUUGUUUGACUUUGACCUUCUUAUCAUACCACCUGGCCACUUUCUUCUUGUUUUCUUCGAUGCUUAUCAAAGCUCUCAAUCGUUGGCCAGCCAAGUCAUCGAGUUCCCUUUUCAUGAGUGAGGAGUAGUCGUCGGCCGCUAACUGGUCCUGGAGCGAAGUGCGUCUUGACCGUGCCCUCAAUUCCCAUGGUAGUACCGCUUCGUGACCGUACACCAACUGAUAAGGGGACAUCUUGGUGGCCCCAUGGCAAGCCAUCCUGUAUGCCCAUAGAGCUUCAGUCAGACAUAAAUGCCAUUUUUUCGGUUGUUCCUCUAUCUUCCUCUUGAUUAACUUAAUUAUCCCUUUGUUGGAGGAUUCGGCCUGGCUGUUAGCUUGGGCAUAAUACGGAGAGGAGUUUAACAAUUUGAUUCCCAUAUCGGCUGUGAACUCCUCGAAUUCUCCUGAUGUAAACAUCGUCCCUUGAUCGGUUGUGAUAGUCUGGGGGAUGCCAAAACGGUAGACGAUAUGGUCUCUUACGAAGUCAACCAUAGCAGCCGAUGUUAUGGCCCUUAACGGAAUUGCCUCCACCCAUUUGGUGAAAUAAUCAGUGGCCACCAGAAUGAACUUGUGCCCUUUGCUUGACGGAGGAUAAAUUUGGCCGAUGAGGUCUAUCCCCCAACCUCUGAACGGCCAUGGUUUGAUAAUGGGAUUCAUGGCCGAUGCGGGCGCACGUUGGACAUUCCCGUAUUUCUGACAAUCCUGGCAUCCUUUAUAAUAUUUGAAGCAAUCUUCGAGGAUCGUUGGCCAGUAAUACCCAUUAUUCCUAAUCAUCCAUUUCAUCUUAUGUGCCAAUUGGUGGGCUCUACACACUCCUUCAUGGAUUUCUCCCAUCAGAGUCUUAGCCUCCUCCGUUCCUAGACACUUGAGUAGGACGCCAUCAAUUGUUCGGUAGAACAAGUCGUCUUCCAGUAACACAUAUUUGGUAGCAUGAAAACGUACCCGCCGAUCCACUUUCUUAGAUGGAUCUCUCAGGUAAUCGGCAAUCUCCUUUUGCCAGUCAUUGGCUGCGAGCUCUAGAGCCAUGGCGCCUUGAAUCGGCCGAUACCCAGAUGCGUGUUGGGCGAGCUUGUUGGCAUCCUCGUUGUGAUUCCUUGGGAUGUGCUCAAUAACUGCCGACUUGAAUUCUUUCAGAAGCUGCAGGCAAUCUUCGUAAUAAAUCCUCAACACAUCAUCCUUGCAUUCGGACUUCCCUGUUAAUUGAUCCACAAUAAGCAUGGAAUCUCCAAAAAUUUUGACAGAAUUAGCUUUGACUUCCCUUAGCAAUUGUAAUCCCUUCAGUACAGCUUGGUACUCUGCUUGAUUGUUAGUGGCGGAUGCUUCUAUCAGCAGAGAGAAAUCAUAGCUUGCCCCUCGGGGCGAUAUGAGGACGAUGCCAAUUCCUGAUCCAGCCCCACAUGACGAUCCAUCAAAGUAUAAGGUCCAAGGUACUGGUUCUACGAAGGUAGAAAUCGGCCAUGACCUGACCCUUAACGGCUUUUGCCGAUUCAUAUCGAAGGUCAAACUCCGACAAAGCCAAAAUCCAUUUUCCGAUUCGUCCUUUCAAAAUCGGCAAUGACAGCAUAUAUUUUACCACAUCGUCCUUGCAUACGACCACACAUUCCGCUGAUAGCAAAUAGUGUCUGAGUUUGGAGCACGAGAAGUAAAGGCAUAGGCAUAAUCGCUCUACUGGAGGAUACCUUGUUUCGGUGUCCAGAAGUCUUCUACUGACAUAAUAAAUUACCCGUUCCUUUCCCUCGAACUCCUGGACCAGAGCCAACCCGAUAGCUCGUUCAUCGGCUGACAAAUAUAGUUUAAAUGGCUUACCAGUUUGAGGUGGGACCAAUACCAGUGGUGAGACCAAGUAUUGCUUGAUAUCUUCCAAUGUCUUGCGUUGCUCUUCCCCCCAUAUGAACUCCUGGUCGGGCUUCAACUUUAAUAAUGGUGUGAAGGCUUGGAUUCGUCCAGACAUAUUAGAUAUGAAUCUUCUGAUGAAAUUCACCUUGCCGAUUAGAGAUUGCAACUCAGUUUUAUUCUGCAGGGCCAUGACUUUGUUGAUGGCCGCUAUGGUCUUCCGAUUGAUCUCUAUUCCCCGCUCGUGCACCAUGAAUCCUAAGAAUUGUUCGGCGGAUACGCCGAAGGCGCACUUAUUCGGGUUCAUCUUCAGCCCAUGUUUCUUAGUGCAUUCCAAUACUUGUCGUAAAUCGGCCAGAUGCUCCUGGUGUCCUUUUGACUUGACUACGACGUCGUCGAUGUAGAUUUCUACUAGUAUGCCGAUAAGUUUGUGAAAUAUGUAGUUCAUGGCUCUCUAAUACGUAGCGCCGACGUUUUUCAAGUUGAAAGUCAUUACCACCCACUCGAAUAAACUAAGGUGACCCGGGCAUCUGAAGGUCGUUUUGGAUAUGUCUUCUUCGGCCAUAAGUAUCUGAUUGUACCCAACAUUUCCAUCCAUGAAACUGAUAACCUUGUGUCCCGCGGCGGGAUCUAUCAGCACAUCAGCCGUCGGCAUGGGGUAUCCGUCCAUUGGUGUGGCCUGAUUGAGGUUCCUGAAAUCGACGCAUACGCGUAGCUUUCCGUUCUUCUUGUAUACUGGUACAAUGUUGGAGAUCCAUUCGGCAUAACGGCAUUGCCGAAUAAAUUUUCCUUCGAUUAGCCGCGUUAUUUCAGCCUUUAUGUCUGGUAGGAUUUUAGGAUUGCACCGCCAUGCAGGCUGUUGAUACGGCCGAUACCCUGGCUUUAUGUCUAACCGAUGCUCAACGAUAGAUAGGUCUAAUCCGGGCAUCUCAUGAUAUUCCCAAGCAAAGCAAUCCUUAAAUUCUCUUAACAAACUUGUUAGUUUACAUUUGUAUUCGGGAUCUAAAUUUGCACUAAUAUAUGUCGGCCUUGGUUUGGUGCCAUCACCUAAGUCUAUGAUUUCUAAUGAAUCGGCCGACAUGAACCCGUGUCCUAGCUUCCCAUCUUCUCGGGCGAACUGAUCCAUUUUAGUCUGAGUCUACGGAGCUGACUGCUCGGAUCGGCUGUAGGCCAAAAUCGGACACCUUCAAGAAGUCAGUAUCCCAUACUCUCCCGGAUAUGCACUUGACGGUUUCGCAGCUCCACUGCUGCGUGUCGGCUGCCGCGAUGCUGUAUGCGGAAUCGGCGGUGACCACCUCGAUGUUGUCGCCAACCCAUUGUACGAGGCAUUGAUGCAUUGUAGAUGGGAUACAGAAAUUUGCAUGUAUCCAGUCUCGGCCGAGUAGCAUGUUGUAGGACCUCUUGCCAUUAAUGAUAAAGAAAGUAGUAGGAAGGAUCUUACUGCCGAUGGUGAGGUCGACGCAGAGAGCGCCGCGAGCGGGGGAUACGUUGCCCUCAAAGUCCUUGAGCAUCAUAUCUGUCUUGGUCAGGUCAUCAUCGCUCUUCCCUAGCUUCCGAAACAUGGCGUACGGCAUGAUGUUGACUGCUGCCCCUCCGUCUACCAGUAAUCUAGUGAUGGGUCGGCCGUUGACAUGCCCUUUAAGAAACAACGCUUUUAGGUGUUGCCGUUUGUCUUCUUUGGGCUUCUCGAAUGUGGCUGUCAUUGGCUCCAAAGCCAAUUGCGCCAUCUGCUCUUCCAUUGCCGACAUGUCCUGUCGGUCGGCAGGAGUCAUGAAUUCCAUCGGCAGUAUGAAAACCAUGUCGAUGUCGGCUGCCGAUUCGUCGCCUCCUUUGUCGUUUCUUUUGGGGCGCCAUACCUGAGACCUGCCGUUCUUCUUGCCUGCCGUAUGCCCUUUCUCUUCCUCCUAUUGUUCCCAUUGGCGGAGACUUUGGAUUCUCCAUUUUUGAGAUUUGGUCAACCCAUCGGGGCACCAUCUGGGGUUCACCGGUUUGGUUCGUGGUCUAGCACGUUCCCAUUCUGGUUUGCGUCCUAAAGGGUUCUCGUCUGACACCCGAGCAUCGGCCAUUUCUUCAAGUCGACUGUGAUGCUGACCUUGUUUUCUGGCCGGUCAUGUCGAUCAAAACUGCCCCCCGGCCCAUCAUUGCGCCUGCCUUCCGAUCGGUCAUACCGGUCACUUCUGCCCCCUAGCCGAUCACGUACUGGAGGGCGCCGGUCGUCUUGGUCGCGCCAGUUCCUGCUGAUCGGCUCUGAUUUCCCAUCUCUAGAGCGAGACCUGCUGAACGGCCGAUUGUUACGAUACGGGCCGUUGCACUUGGGGCAAUUAUCGGCCGAAGGCAACUUGAGGUUGCUUUCCCAAUAGUGAAUGAAGAACGGACAUCGCCAGUGAUCUUCAUGUCGCCGCAUUGCUUCUUCCUUGGAUCUUGAGCGUGCAUGCUGCCGCUGAUACUUAUUGAGCAGAAAUUGGGAAGUAAUGGGCCUUCGUAGUUCUUCCCUCCCAUCGUCAUCAUCUUCCAUCCGUCGUUUUCCUUUGACGUCUUCAGGUGUUGCUUGAUUCCUGGGGUCCACGGUGCCACUUUGUUUAGCCGAUUCAGACAUUAGCACCUUGGUUUGGAGCGCAUUCCUCCCCGUGUCAACCAUGAUGGUGGGGAAGGGGUGCUGGUCGAUCUUCAUCGGCUUGGCCGAUUUUGUUGGAACUUCAAAUUUAAGUCUGCCUUGCUCGAUGGCCGACUGUAUCUGCUGUCGGAAGAUUUUGCAUUCGUUUGUAUCAUGGGAAGUAGCGUUAUGCCACUUGCAAUAUUUCAUCUUUUUCAGCUGUUCAGCAGAAAGAAUCGUAUGAUACGAUGAGAGCUUGAUUUGUCCUUCUUGGAGGAGUAGGUCGAAAAUUUUAUCGGCCUUUGAUGUGUCGAAUCCGAACGUUUCCGGCUCCUUCUUUCCGAACAGACACGAUAUCGGCUUCUUCCCUUUAACCCAUUCUGCAAGGCCGAUUUCUGCGUCUUCCUCGUUUUCAACCUCUUCUAAGAAUGCCACCUUCUUCUGAAAGUUCCUCCGUGGAUCGAAAGGAUGUACUUCUUGACCAGAUAAUCGGUGGACGAUUUGGCUUAAGCUCUCAAACUCCUGUGAGGCAUAUUUCUCUUUGAUAUGAGGUAGGAGGCCUUGGAAGGCUAUAUCGGCCAACUGUGCAUCAGUCAGGGCUAGAGAAUAGCAUUUGUUCCUGAUCUCCCGAAACCUUUGCACAUAUGAGGAAAUUGGCUCGUCGCUUCUCUGUCUGAGGCUGGUUAAAUCGGACAACUUCAUUUCAUGUAUUCCGGCGUAGAAGUAUUUAUGAAAUUGCCUUUCCAGAUCGGCCCAUGUAAUUAUCGAGUUGGGCGGUAAGGUGGUGAACCACUGGAAGGCCGACCCAGACAGGGAUGAUGAGAAAAGGCGCACCCGUAGAGCAUCCUGCGCCGCUGCUUCCCCGCAUUAGAUGAUGAAUCUGUUCACGUGUUCCACGGUUGAGGUGUCGUCCAGCCCCAAAAACUUGGUGAAAUCAGGAACUUUAUACCGAUGGGGAAACGGCAGUAAGUCGUAUGUAGGCGGGUAUGGUGUCCUGUAUGUGUAGGUCUGCACCUUCGGUUUCAAGCCGAAUUGUUCCUGAAUCACCUCUGCUAUACGUGCCGACUAGUCCGGCUGUUGCUGGUAAACCAUCGGCUGAGGAACUGGUACAUGCUGGUAUAUUGGUGGCAGGAUGACUUGAUGUUGAGUGAAAGCGUGUGGCGUUUGAUGUGUCAUAGCCGGCUGCGUAGUCAGGGUCGGCUGUUUGAAUGAGCCGUUUGUUUCGUCAUAUAGUACGACACCCCGGAGUACUUCCGUUGAUUCUUCUGCUCUGCUCAUCUCUGGUGCGACAGGCUGGUACUGUGACAUGGUUGGUCGAGCGGCUGCCUGGAAAGACGCCUGGAGUUGGGGACUUCCAUGAUUGGUCGGUUGAUCCUGGACGGCCGUUACUGAUGGUGCCCCCCAAGGCGCCGGAUUAAAUGGAGGAAACUGCACGGAGGACAACUAUAUGGGGCGUGGCUGGAGGUGCUGCGUGCCAUUAAACCCCAUAGGGAUCGAUGAGGAAGCGCCAGAACCCCCAACUGGUAUUUGAGUCGGCUGAGAAGCCGAGUAAGGUGUAUUCUUGUUCGGAGCCGUAAUCGGCGGAGCAUAUGCCGGCCCUUGGUACCCUUGAGAUACACCGCUAGCUAAGGAGCUGAUAACGGCAUUGUAUACCGUAUUAGAAAGCACCGGGGAUUGAUCGAUGAAAGCUUGAUAGAUGGAUUGUUGAACCAUCUUGGACAUCUUGUCCGAGUCCUCGGUGAUUGUGAUCUGGCGGGGAGUUGGAAACGGAGCCUUUUUGAUAGUCUCCCCGCUCCUGGUGCGACUGAAGGACUGCAGACAUAUCUUCCGGUAGUAUGCCGUCUGCCUCUCUAGUUCUUCCUUCUGGUCAUCCCUGAGAUCUGCCUCUGUCACUUCGAUGACGUUAUCUUCGGAGACUUCAGCAGCUUUCGACAUGGUGGCGGUUGUAUUGGUCCCACUGGGCAUGCCAAAAGUGUGUUGGCGCUAGAAAUCGGCUGAUCGAAUUCCCAGCGUCGGACACACGACCCGGGAGAAUCUGCUUAGCUCCUGUUCGGGUGAUCGCCCUGGUGCGGUUCGCGUGGCGUGCCAGCCAAUCUGACCUAUUGACCUAGUGCGAUCGGCUAAGGUUCCGAUCUCGAGAAAGCUUAUCAGCGAAUCGGCCGAUUUGCCGUAAUAAAGAAAUCGGCUAUAAUGCAACCGAUUACCAGGCAACGUUUAUAAAGAAAACUGCUAGAGUAAUCUAAACAACACUACAAUAGCAACACUAGGAACAGAUCUAAUCGGCUAUGUGCAAAAAUAAGUAAAUUAAAUGACGAAGUACGGGAAAAGCCGAAGUUGCCGAUUCCUAGCUGGAUAACUGGUGAUAAAACUAGAACAACAGGUAAAACCUAGAAAUCUAGUAAAUAUCGAUAACUAAUGAAUAAAUCUAAACGAAAUGACAGCGAUGCGCCCGAAGUUAAAGCUUAGAAUUUACUCGAUAAACGGAACUUACAAGAUCGGCCGGAGGUCAAGUUAAUGCAGCCCCGCCAACCCGUACGAACUCGUGAAAAAGGAGAAAAAAGUGUUGGCGAAGUCGCCUGCUUGAAAGUAAGUACGAGGAAAUAGUAGUUUGUUGUAUUGAGUUGAUGAUGAUUACAGAUCUACAAGGGUGGCUAUUUAUAGCCCCGUACAAACGACUUCUUAUCCGACUAGAACUCUAUCCCUAAAUUUAAACAGAAAACGAAUAUUUACAAGUAUGAUUCGUACUACGUCGAUUAUCACGCACUUCAUGGGCUGAUUCCCUCUUCAUCUUCAUAAUCCUUUUUAAGCCCACAUCGGCCCAACUAUUCCAACCUCCUAAUCGGCCGAUCACCUCUUUGGCAAGGGGUAACCGAUCAGGACUCAUAUGUCGAGGGCUCAGACUCACUCCGACCCUGGAAACUAAGGUCGGACGAGGCGGAGAUCCUCCUCUGGAGGGUCGGGCGCGUCCGAUCCCAAACCUCAGGGGUCGGGCGAGGCGGAGAUCCUCCUGUGGAGGGUCGGGCGCGUCCGAUCCCAAACCUCAGGGGUCGGGCAAGGCGGAGAUCCUCCCUUGGAGAGUCGGGCGCGUCCGAUCCCAAACCUCAAGGGUCGGGUGAGGCGGAACUCCAAGGAUCAAUCGGCCGAUCCUCGACUGUAGCAUCAAUUGGCCGAUCCUUGACUGUAGCACCAAUCAACCAAUUUCCAAUCAUCGCCCUUGUAUCUCGCCG
rnacentral:lncRNA from 1 species